rnacentral:tRNA from 1 species
CGGGGUGUAGCGCAGUUGGCUAGCGCGUCUGCUUUGGGAGCAGAAGGUCCACAGUUCAAAUCUGUGCACCCCGACCA